CCUACGGGUGGCAGCAGUGAGGAAUAUUGGUCAAUGGACGAGAGUCUGAACCAGCCAAGUAGCGUGAAGGAUGACUGCCCUAGGGGUUGUAAACUUCUUUUAUAUGGGAAUAAAAUGUUCCACGUGUGGGAUAUUGUAUGUACCAUAUGAAUAAGGAUCGGCUAACUCCGGGCAAGCAGCCGCGGUAAUACGGAGUAUCCGAGCGUUAUCCGGAUUUAUUGGGUUUAAGGGGAGCGGUGGUGGAUUGUUAAGGCAGUUGUGAAAGUUUGCGGCUCAACCGGAAAAUUGCAGUUGAAACUGGCAGUCUUGAGUACAGUAGAGGUGGGCGGAAUUCGUGGUGUAGCGGUGAAAUGCUUAGAUAUCACGAAGAACUCCGAUUGCGAAGGCAGCUCACUGGACUGCAACUGACACUGAGGCUCGAAAGUGUGGGUAUCAAACAGGAUUAGAUACCCGGGUAGUC
rnacentral:rRNA from 1 species